ACCUUUUUGUAAUUUGUAAGUGUAAUGAUUGGGUUGUCUUGCUCAUUUGCGAUAUGUGUCUCCCUCAAACCUUGUUAUGAUGCCAGCACAUUACCCAUCUGAAA